rnacentral:pre_miRNA from 1 species
CCAAAAUUAGUCGCUUGUCAUUUUCUAAUUGGUUCUUAGAGUGUUAAAAUUGUAUAAGAACCAAAUACAAAAUAACAAGGGCUAAUUUUGG